rnacentral:tRNA from 1 species
AGUUAAUUACCUUAAUAAAAAUUUAUAUUUUGAAAAUAUAAGAUAGAAAAAAUUUCUAUUAACUU